rnacentral:rRNA from 1 species
AGUGAACGCUGGCGGUAGGCCUAACACAUGCCAGUCGAACGGUAGCACAGUAAGAGCUUGCUCUUACGGGUGGCGAGUGGCGGACGGGUGAGGAAUACAUCGGAAUCUACUUUUUCGUGGGGGAUAACGUAGGGAAACUUACGCUAAUACCGCAUACGACCUACGGGUGAAAGCAGGGGAUCUUCGGACCUUGCGCGAUUGAAUGAGCCGAUGUCGGAUUAGCUAGUUGGCGGGGUAAAGGCCCACCAAGGCGACGAUCCGUAGCUGGUCUGAGAGGAUGAUCAGCCAAACGGGAACGGAGACACGGUCCAGACUCCGAGGGGGGGCAGCAGUGGGGAAUAUUGGAAAAGGGGCGCAAGCCGGAUCCAGCCAUACCGCGUGGGUGAAGAAGGCCUUGGGGUUGAAAAGCCCUUUUGUGGGGAAAAAAAAGCAGCAGGUUAAUACCCCGCGGUUGUGGCGGAACCAAAAGAAUAAGCACCGGCUAACGUCG